AUUUUAAUCUAUUGUUAUUUUAUGAAAUUAAUUUGUAUAAAAAAGUUAAUAUAAAAAUUAAAAAGUAAUUAUUAAUAAAAUUUUUCAUUAAACGAUAGCUAACAAGUACUUAAUAGGAAAUAAUAUCUAUAUUUUAAAGGUAUAAAGUAAAUUUAAAUUAUUGUACCUUGUGUAUCAGGGAUAAUCAAACUAACUUAAAUAAAUUAUAAAUCCCGAACUAAAGAUAGCUAAUAUUUUAAACGAGUUUUUGUAUCAUAAAAAUUUGAAAUUUAAUAUUAAAGAUGAAAUGUCAAGCGAGCUUUAUAUUAUCUGGUUUUCCGAGAAUAAAAUAUAAUUUAAUUAUUAAAUUUAGUUAAUUUAAUAGUAAAGGGUAGGAGGGAUUAGCUUCUUAUCACUAAAAUAAUUAAAUAAUAGAAUUAAUAAAAAUAUGAUUUUCCUAGGCUUAAAAGCAGCCAUGGUAGCAAAGUGUUUUAACUUAGACUUAUCAUCAAAAUAAUUUAUAAAAUCUUUAUUAAGUAUCGGGAUGUAAACUUAAAUUAAAAAGGUUAAGUAACAAUGAUUAUAUUAGUAAAAUAAAAUUGUAAAAAUAAUUUAAUAAAAUAAAAGAUAAAUUAUAAAAGGUGUUUGAAAUACAAAAGGAACUCGGCAAUAUUUCUUUUUGCCUGUUUAUCAAAAACAUGGCUAUUAUGAGUUAUUUAUAGUCUAGCCUGCUCACUGAUAAAUUUUAUUAAAUAGCCGCGGUAUCUUGACCGUGCAAAGGUAGCAUAAUCAUUAGUUUCUUAAUUGGAAACUUGUAUGAAUGGUUGGACAAAAAAGAAACUGUCUCUUGUAUUACUAUUGAAUUUAACUUUUAAGUGAAAAGGCUUAAAUUAUCUAGAGGGACGACAAGACCCUAUAAAGCUUUAUAAAUUUGAUAAUUUUUUAAAUUUAUAUAUAAAAAUAAUUUUUGUAAAAUUUAUUUGGUUGGGGCGACAAUGGUAUAAUUAAAAUAACUGCUAUAAGAUUUAACAAAAAUAUUUGUUUAAUAAAUAUAAUUGAUCCUUUUUAAAGAUUUAAGAUCAAGUUACUUUAGGGAUAACAGCGUUAUUUUUCCUGAGAGUUCUUAUCAAAGGAAGAGUUUGCGACCUCGAUGUUGAAUUAAAAUGUCUUUAUAGUGCAGCAGCUAUAAAAGAAGGUCUGUUCGACCUUUAAUAUUUUACAUGAUUUGAGUUCAGACCGGCGAGGGCCAGGUCGGUUUCUAUCUUCUAGAAAAAAACGAUUACCUUAGUACGAAAGGAUUAGGUAGUCAAAAUUCUUUUUGAAUUUGAAGU
rnacentral:rRNA from 1 species